rnacentral:rRNA from 1 species
GAGUAAUGUCUGGGAAACUGCCUGAUGGAGGGGGAUAACUACUGGAAACGGUGGCUAAUACCGCAUAACGUCGCAAGACCAAAGAGGGGGACCUUCGGGCCUCUUGCCAUCAGAUGUGCCCAGAUGGGAUUAGCUUGUUGGUGAGGUAACGGCUCACCAAGGCGACGAUCCCUAGCUGGUCUGAGAGGAUGACCAGCCACACUGGAACUGAGACACGGUCCAGACUCCUACGGGAGGCAGCAGUGGGGAAUAUUGCACAAUGGGCGCAAGCCUGAUGCAGCCAUGCCGCGUGUAUGAAGAAGGCCUUCGGGUUGUAAAGUACUUUCAGCGGGGAGGAAGGUGUUGUGGUUAAUAACCGCAGCAAUUGACGUUACCCGCAGAAGAAGCACCGGCUAACUCCGUGCCAGCAGCCGCGGUAAUACGGAGGGUGCAAGCGUUAAUCGGAAUUACUGGGCGUAAAGCGCACGCAGGCGGUCUGUCAAGUCGGAUGUGAAAUCCCCGGGCUCAACCUGGGAACUGCAUUCGAAACUGGCAGGCUUGAGUCUUGUAGAGGGGGGUAGAAUUCCAGGUGUAGCGGUGAAAUGCGUAGAGAUCUGGAGGAAUACCGGUGGCGAAGGCGGCCCCCUGGACAAAGACUGACGCUCAGGUGCGAAAGCGUGGGGAGCAAACAGGAUUAGAUACCCUGGUAGUCCACGCCGUAAACGAUGUCUACUUGGAGGUUGUGCCCUUGAGGCGUGGCUUCCGGAGCUAACGCGUUAAGUAGACCGCCUGGGGAGUACGGCCGCAAGGUUAAAACUCAAAUGAAUUGACGGGGGCCCGCACAAGCGGUGGAGCAUGUGGUUUAAUUCGAUGCAACGCGAAGAACCUUACCUGGUCUUGACAUCCACAGAACUUUCCAGAGAUGGACUGGUGCCUUCGGGAACUGUGAGACAGGUGCUGCAUGGCUGUCGUCAGCUCGUGUUGUGAAAUGUUGGGUUAAGUCCCGCAACGAGCGCAACCCUUAUCCUUUGUUGCCAGCGGUCCGGCCGGGAACUCAAAGGAGACUGCCAGUGAUAAACUG